GCCCCGAACCCGAACUGUACCCCUUGUGGGUCGCGUGCCGAAAGGCUAGGGUUCGGGGCUCUU
rnacentral:ncRNA from 1 species